rnacentral:rRNA from 1 species
UACGGAGGAUGCGAGCGUUAUCCGGAUUUAUUGGGUUUAAAGGGUGCGCAGGCGGAUUUUUAAGUCAGCGGUCAAAUCGUGGGGCUCAACCCCAUCCAGCCGUUGAAACUGGGGAUCUAGAGUGUGCGAGAGGUAUGCGGAAUGCGUGGUGUAGCGGUGAAAUGCAUAGAUAUCGAGAGGAACACUCGUGGCGAAGGCGGGUUCCUGGACAUUAACUGACGCUGAGGCACGAAGGCCAGGGGAGCGAAAGGG